UGGAGUCAAAGUGGCAUUUAUGGGAACUCUUAUCCGAUUUGUGUCUCAAAUACUCCAAAACAAACUAGUGAGACGGACGGCAUCCUGAAUAAUGUAUCCUAUUAUAUCAGAUGACUUGUGUUCGUCUACAUU
rnacentral:snoRNA from 1 species